rnacentral:rRNA from 1 species
UAGAGAAUCUUCCACAAUGGGCGAAAGCCUGAUGGAGCAACGCCGCGUGUGUGAUGAAGGGUUUCGGCUCGUAAAACACUGUUGUAAGAGAAGAAUGACAUUGAGAGUAACUGUUCAAUGUGUGACGGUAUCUUACCAGAAAGGAACGGCUAAAUACGUGCAAG